rnacentral:rRNA from 1 species
GACGAACGCUGGCGGCGUGCUUAACACAUGCAAGUCGAACGGAAAGGCCCUGCUUUUGUGGGGUGCUCGAGUGGCGAACGGGUGAGUAACACGUGAGUAACCUGCCCUUGACUUUGGGAUAACUUCAGGAAACUGGGGCUAAUACCGGAUAGGAGCUCCUGCUGCAUGGUGGGGGUUGGAAAGUUUCGGCGGUUGGGGAUGGUCUCGCGGCUUAUCAGCUUGUUGGUGGGGUAGUGGCUUACCAAGGCUUUGACGGGUAGCCGGCCUGAGAGGGUGGCCGGCCACAAUGGGACUGAGAGACGGCCCAGACUUCUACGGGAGGCAACAGUUGGGAAUAUUGCACAAUGGGCGGAAGCCUGAUGCAGCAACGCCGCGUGCGGGAUGACGGCCUUCGGGUUGUAAACCGCUUUCGCCUGUGACGAAGCGUGAGUGACGGUAAUGGGUAAAGAAGCACCGGCUAACUACGUG